ACAAAGGUUUUUUUAAGAACUACUAUUUAUUAGUUGAAAGCUCUAU
rfam:Pan troglodytes isolate Yerkes chimp pedigree #C0471 (Clint) chromosome 10, whole genome shotgun sequence.